UUCCUGUUCGUAUAACGGUUAGUAUGCUCGCUUGUCACUGGAAUAUCUCUGAUAGUCAGGAUUCGCGGGAGACCGGAGUUCGAUUCUCCGACAGGAAG
rnacentral:tRNA from 1 species